CAGAGCUUCCUUCUGAUCUUGUCCCCAGCAUGGAUAACAUCAUUUAGGGGACCAUGGAGCAUGCCAGUCAGCACACAGUUACAGCAAUCUGUUGAGCAACUUGUAUGCUUGGCACUAGGAGAAGACCGACAUCCUGCCCAGAGGCCCCUAGACCUGGCGAAGCAGGCUGAUGGCACGGGCUCAUCAUGAUGGGGGCCCUCAAGUUUUUAUUUCAACUUCAACUUCAAAGCACAUUCUUCAUACAGUCUAUCAAGGCACAAGGAGGAAGAGGCACUGGCACAGAGAGAGAAGGAAGAUGAGAAGGUAGCAGAAACCUGAAGGAAAGGGGGUCUCUGGGGCAGCAUGCUGCAGAGAUGGCAGGGAGGAUGAGGGAAUGUUUCAUGUCAGGCUUCUCUAUAAAAUAGCAAUCUGUGAGUAAAUGUGUAAGGGAAGAACCUAAGCUUGUGCACCAACCCAAAUCCCCUGGUGUCGGAAUGUGGCUGGCUCCCCUGCCCGUCAGCCAGCUCCUUUGUCUCCCCCUGGUGGUGGGAGGAUGCAGCAUGUGCUCCUGAGCUUGUAAGAGCCCAAGAGGGAGCCUGCUUGGCUGUCACCGCAGUGGCCAGAUGCUCCUGAAGGCUGGGCAGGACCGCCUGCUGCUGGGUCUGGGGGCUGCAUCAGGUUUUGUCUUUCUGGUCAGAGCCAAGUUGGAGUUGAUUUUUCCUCACUUGACAUUCCUUCCCACACACAAAUCCUGUGUUGGCUGUUUCCCUCUGAAAGUACAGAUAUGAUCACUUUACUCUUCUGCUUCAAACACUCCAAUGGUGACCCGUGGCUCUUGGGAUGAGACCAAACUUCCCUCCAAGGCCCACAAGCACUUCGCAGUGCGACCCCUGCCUAUUGCCCCCUCCUGGCACUCAUUUCUCCUCGUUGUUCUCGGGCAUUCUGGCCACUCUAGCUCCCUUCUGGCUUGUGGAUUUUGCUUGGAUUAUGCUCCCAUUGCUCCCUCUGCAGGGAGCAUGACUCCCUUUCACCCGCUGACUCCCAGUCAUCCUUCAGAGCCCAGCUUCAGAUCCUCCAAGAGCCGUCCCCCGACCGCGGACCCAGUUAGGUCAUUUGCUGUAAUCACUCUUCAGUGUUCU